CUGGCUUUAGUUUAAGUUUAGAAUAUUAGUUUUGGGGAUUGAAGGACCUUUAGGGGAAGUCGGA
rnacentral:tRNA from 1 species